CUACGGGGUGCUGCAGUGAGGAAUAUUGCACAAUGGGGGGAACCCUGAUGCAGCAACGCCGCGUGGAGGAUGACGCAUUUCGGUGUGUAAACUCCUUUUAUAUGUCAAGAAAAUGACGGUAGCAUAUGAAUAAGCACCGGCUAACUCCGUGCCAGCAGCCGCGGUAAUACGGAGGGUGCAAGCGUUACUCGGAAUCACUGGGCGUAAAGGACGCGUAGGCGGGUUGGAAAGUCAGGUGUGAAAUCCUACAGCUUAACUGUAGAACUGCACUUGAAACUUCUAAUCUAGAGUAUGGGAGGGGGAGAUGGAAUUAGUGGUGUAGGGGUAAAAUCCGUAGAUAUCACUAGGAAUGCCUAAAGCGAAGGCGAUCUCCUGGAACAUUACUGACGCUAAGGCGUGAAAGCGUGGGGAGCAAACAGGAUUAGAUACCCGCGUAGUC
rnacentral:rRNA from 1 species